UGCCCUUCCAAUAAGCAUAAAGCGCUUAGUACGAGAGGAACCGUUCAUUCAGAUAAUUGGUAUUUGGCCCUGUCUGAGAAGCCAUUGGUCCGAAGCGUCCCACUGCUGGAUUAUGGCUGAACGCCUCUAAGUCAGAAUCCAUGCUAGAAGCAACGCCACUUGCUUGCGUUUGGGAGUUGGAUACCAAUAGGCCUCGGCCAGAACCAUGUAAGGAGGAUUUGGGCAUUGGUCGGAAGCGACUACCACCCUACCUCGAAUAGCAAUGUCACCUUGCAAGCCUAAAUCCUUUGCAUACGACUUAGACUAUGUAUAAUCACGUCUCUCCGUCUGGCACAUCCUCCUCACCGAUAAGACGGAUAU
rnacentral:ncRNA from 1 species